rnacentral:rRNA from 1 species
UACGGGGGGGGUAAGCGUUGUUCGGAAUUACUGGGCGUAAAGGGCUCGUAGGCGGCCAACUAAGUCGGACGUGAAAUCCCUCAGCUUAACUGGGGAACUGCGUCCGAUACUGGAUGGCUUGGAUUUGGGAGAGGGAUGCGGAAUUCCAGGUGUAGCGGUGAAAUGCGUAGAUAUCGGGAGGAACACCAGUGGCGAAGGCGACUACCUGGCCUGUUCUUGACGCUGAGGCGCGAAAGCUAGGGGAGCAAACGGG